UACGUAGGGGGCAAGCGUUGUCCGGAAUCAUUGGGCGUAAAGCGCGUGUAGGCGGCCAGAAAAGUCCGCUGUGAAAACUCGAGGCUCAACUUCGAGCUGUCGGUGGAAACUUUCUGGCUAGAGUCCGGAAGAGGAGAAUGGAAUUCCUGGUGUAGCGGUGAGAUGCGCAGAUAUCAGGAAGAACACCCGUGGCGAAAGCGGCUCUCUGGGACGGUACUGACGCUGAGACGCGAAAGCGUGGGGAGCAAACAGG
rnacentral:rRNA from 1 species